rnacentral:rRNA from 1 species
UACGUAGGGUGCAAGCGUUGUCCGGAAUUAUUGGGCGUAAAGAGCUCGUAGGCGGUCUGUCACGUCGGCUGUGAAAUCCCGAGGCUCAACCUCGGGUCUGCAGUCGAUACGGGCAAACUAGAGUAUUGCAGGGGAGACUGGAAUUCCUGGUGUAGCGGUGAAAUGCGCAGAUAUCAGGAGGAACACCGGUGGCGAAGGCGGGUCUCUGGGCAAUAACUGACGCUGAGGCGCGAAAGCCAGGGGAGCGAACGGG